rnacentral:rRNA from 1 species
UUGAACGCUGGCGGAAUGCUUUACACAUGCAAGUCGAGCGGCAGCGCGGGGGCAACCCUGGCGGCGAGCGGCGAACGGGUGAGUAACAUAUCGGAACGUACCCAGACGUGGGGGAUAACACAUCGAAAGAUGUGCUAAUACCGCAUACGACCUGAGGGUGAAAGGGGGGGAUCGCAAGACCUCUCGCGUUUGGAGCGGCCGAUAUCGGAUUAGCUAGUUGGUGAGGUAAAGGCUCACCAAGGCGACGAUCCGUAGCUGGUCUGAGAGGACGACCAGCCACACUGGAACUGAGACACGGUCCAGACUCCUACGGGAGGCAGCAGUGGGGAAUUUUGGACAAUGGGGGCAGCCCCGAUCCAGCCAUUCCGCGUGAGUGAAGAAGGCCUUCGGGUUGUAAACUGCUUUUGUACGGAACGAAAAGGUCUUUUCUAAUAAAGAAGGCUCAUGACGGUACCGUAAGAAUAAGCACCGGCUAACUACGU